ensembl:lncRNA
UUUCGAAAUUAUGAAUAAAUGUGUCAUGUUUUCAAACUAAAAAAGAAUCGAGAUUUCAAUAUAGACCAAAAUAAUAGUGAUUAUGAAUUGUUUUCCAUAAAAAAGCUGCCCUAUUUUUGGGUGCGUAAACCAAACCUUAAACAGGCAUUGGUUGGUUUAAUGAGGCUGGUUAAAGGUGUAGUGGUUGGUUUAAUGAGGCUGGUUAAAGGUGUAGUGGUUGGUGAUAUAAGGCUGGUUAAAGGUGUAGUGGUUGGGGAUAUAAGGCUGGUUAAAGGUCUAGUGGUUGGUUUAAUGAGGCUGGUUAAAGG